GUCCCCGUAGUUUAAUGGAUAAAACGCUUCCCUGCGGAGGAAGAGAGUGCAGGUUCAACUCCUGCCGGGGACA
rnacentral:tRNA from 1 species